UACGUAGGGCGCGAGCGUUGUCCGGAAUUAUUGGGCGUAAAGAGCUCGUAGGCGGCCUGUCGCGUCUGCUGUGAAAGCCCGGGGCUUAACCCCGGGUCGGCAGUGGAUACGGGCAGGCUAGAGGUAGGUAGGGGAGAAUGGAAUUCCCGGUGUAGCGGUGAAAUGCGCAGAUAUCGGGAGGAACACCGGUGGCGAAGGCGGUUCUCUGGGCCUUACCUGACGCUGAGGAGCGAAAGCGUGGGGAGCGAACAGG
rnacentral:rRNA from 1 species